rnacentral:rRNA from 1 species
CGCGUAAAUUACCCAAUCCUGACACAGGGAGGUAGUGACAAUAAAUAACAAUGCCGGGGUUUAACUCUGGCAAUUGGAAUGAGAACAAUUUAAAUCCCUUAUCGAGGAUCAAUUGGAGGGCAAGUCUGGUGCCAGCAGCCGCGGUAAUUCCAGCUCCAAUAGCGUAUACUAAAGUUGUUGCAGUUAAAAAGCUCGUAGUUGGAUUUCUGGCAGGGACGGCUGGUCGGUUCCGAUAAGGGGCCGUACUAUUGUUGGUUCCUGUCAUCCUUGGGGAGAGCGAUUCUGGAAGUUGUUGGGGUCGGGAUCCCUAUCUUUUACUGUGAAAAAAUUAGAGUGUUCAAAGCAGGCUUAGGCCCUGAAUACAUUAGCAUGGAAUAAUAAGAUACGACCUUGGUGGUCUAUUUUGUUGGUUUGCACGCCAAGGUAAUGAUUAAUAGGGAUAGUUGGGGGGUAUUCGUAUUCAAUUGUCAGAGGUGAAAUUCUUGGAUUUAUGGGAAGACGAACUACUGCGAAAGCAUUUA